rnacentral:ncRNA from 1 species
UACCUGGUUGAUUCUGCCAGUAGUCAUAUGCUUGUCUCAAAGAUUAAGCCAUGCAUGUCUAAGUAUAAGCAAUUAUACCGUGAAACUGCGAAUGGCUCAUUAAAUCAGUUAUCGUUUAUUUGAUAAUACCUUACUACUUGGAUAACCGUGGUAAUUCUAGAGCUAAUACAUGCU